rnacentral:rRNA from 1 species
AACGAACGCUGGCGGCAUGCCUAACACAUGCAAGUCGAACGAGACCUUCGGGUCUAGUGGCGCACGGGUGCGUAACGCGUGGGAACCUGCCCUUAGGUUCGGAAUAACUCCCCGAAAGGGGUGCUAAUACCGGGUAAUGUUAUCGGACCCAAGCUUUAUCGCCUUUGGAUGGGCCCGCGUUGGAUUAGCUAGUUGGUAGGGUAAAAGCCUGCCAAGGCGACGAUCCAUAGCUGGUCUGAGAGGAUGAUCAGCAGCACUGGGACUGAGACACAGACCAGACUCCUACGGGAGGCAGCAGUGGAGAGUAUUGUACAAUGGGCGAAAGCGUGAUCCAGCAAUGCCGCGUGAGUGAUGAAUGCCUUAGGGUUGUAAAGCUCUUUUACCCGGGAUGAUAAUGACAGUACCGGGAGAAUAAGCUCCGGCUAACUCCGUG